GCUAUUGGAGUUCGAUUAAGCCAUGCGAGUCGCGAGAAAUUAGAUUCUCGGCGUACCGCUCAGUAACACGUGGGUAACCUGCCCUAUGCUGGAUAAUAACCUCGGGAAACUGAGUAUAAUGAUCCAUAGUUCACUACGCCUGGAACGGUGAGUGGAUGAAAGCUCCGGCGGCAUAGGAUGGGCCUGCGGCGUAUCAGGUAGUAGGGGGUGUAACGUACCCUCUAGCCCUCUACGCGUACGGGUGUUGGGAGACAUAGCCCGGAGAUGGAUUCUGAGACACGAAUCCAGACCCUACGGGGUGCAGCAGGCGCGAAAACUUGGCAAUGCGAGAAAUCGUGACCAGGGAACUCCAAGUGCAUCGGGUAAGACCGGUGCUUUUCUUGACUCUAAAUAGGUCUUGGAAUAAGGGGUGGGUAAGGACGGUGCCAGCCGCCGCGGUAAUACCGGCGCCUCAAGUGGUAGUCGCUUUUAUUGGGCCUAAAACGUCCGUAGCCGGUCUGAUACAUUCGUGGGUAAAUCAACCAGCUCAACUGGUUGAAUUCUGCGAGGACGGUCAGACUUGGGACCGGGAGAGGUGUGGGGUACGCUCAGGGUAGGGGUAAAAUCCUGUCAUCCUGAGCGGACCACCUGUUGCGAAGGCGCCACACUAGAACGGAUCCGACGGUCAGGGACGAAGCCUAGGGGCACGAACCGGAUUAGAUACCCGGGUAGUCCUAGGUGUAAACGCUGUGGACUUGAUGUUGGGGGUGCUCCGAGCACUCUCAGUGUCGAAGCGAAGGUGAUAAGUCCACUGCCUGGGAAGUACGGUCGCAAGGCUGAAACUUAACCACGCGAAUUGGCGGGGGAGCACCGC
rnacentral:rRNA from 1 species